AUUGAACGCUGGCGGCAGGCCUAACACAUGCAAGUCGAGCGGAUGAAGGGAGCUUGCUCCUGGAUUCAGCGGCGGACGGGUGAGUAAUGCCUAGGAAUCUGCCUGGUAGUGGGGGAUAACGUCCGGAAACGGGCGCUAAUACCGCAUACGUCCUGAGGGAGAAAGUGGGGGAUCUUCGGACCUCACGCUAUCAGAUGAGCCUAGGUCGGAUUAGCUAGUUGGUGGGGUAAAGGCCUACCAAGGCGACGAUCCGUAACUGGUCUGAGAGGAUGAUCAGUCACACCGGAACUGGGACCCGGUCCAGGCUCCUAAGGGAGGGAGCAGUGGGGAAUAUUGGACAAUGGGCGGAAACCUUGUCCAGGCAUGGCGCGUGUGUGAAAGAGGUCUUCGGAUUGUAAAGCACUUUAAGUUGGGAGGAAGGGCAGUAAGUUAAUACCUUGCUGUUUUGACGUUACCCACAGAAUAAGCACCGGCUAACUUCGUG
rnacentral:rRNA from 1 species